rnacentral:tRNA from 1 species
GCGAGACCGGAGAGGGCCCCGACUCUCCCGGGGGACCCGCCUGUGCCCGGCCUCGGGCAGGCGCUCCGAACACCUAGACCUCGCGGAGGUUAUCCUGUCUCGGGACGGGCCGAGCGGUACGGCUCUUUCCACCAAUCUCAAAUACUGCGCCGUGAAAGAAGAAAGCCAAACAAACCAGGAAGGAAUGCAAAAAAAGAAGAACCCGGGCAAACUGCAAACAGGACGAGCGGACCAAGGAGUUCCCCUGGAACGCGGUGGCAGGCUGGCCAGAUCUGUGAGCGAAAGGGCCCCUCCUGCUGGAUCUGAACUCCGACCUCAUUCACACUAAGACUCAGCCAGGACCAAGGACUUCAGAGCAAGGAGCUCCUUAUUCAGUCUUCUCUAAUGACCUGUAAUAAGUCGCCCGCAGGAUUUUUUUUUUUUUUUCUGCGUCUUAUUGCCUAGAUUAAAGAAAAGGUAGAAAUCUUCCAAGGACAUUCACACUGAUAUUCGGUGACUACCUUGUGGCUCACUUCCCAGGCGUGUGAGAAUACGAUGAUUCCUCCUUUCCUGUGUUUGCUCAGAUCCCUAGGGAUGAAUGAAAACGCUGCGGGGAACCCUACUAACCAAGAAGAAAAAAAUUCGAAUUUUGAGCACCCACGCUGGGAUGGGUAAAUAACUUAGAGAUGGUAAAAAAGCUUUCUAUGGUAAGUGGUAGUGUGGCCGAGCGGUCUAAGGCGCUGGAUUUAGGCUCCAGUCUCUUCGGAGGCGUGGGUUCGAAUCCCACCGCUGCCAUUACUGCCUUUUAAUCUACCUGCAAAUCCCAAAUACUGUUCUUUGUUAGAAGGGAGUUUAAAGAAGACUAUGUACCAACAACGAUUUGAAGUUCCUCUUCCCCAUUGGAAAGUUUCUAGUGGACACUGAUUUCUCUAUUAAUGCAUGUCAAACCCCCUCGGUUUACUGCUUGAGAUCCCCCCGCUCUUCUGAUACGCCCUCCCAGGCUUAGUAUUUGCACUGGACCUUCCUCUUGUCUAGGCUUUUGCACUGCUUUUGGGGUCCCUCAGUCGGGAACGUUUUUGGUCUUCCUCUUCUAAAAUCCACACUCACACAGAUUCAUUCUCAUGAGGUGGCUUAGGCAUCAUCUGGUCAGGAAGACUUCCCAGAAAUUGCCCGCCCCCCCCGCCCCCCCAUCAUCCCGCCGCUGACACUCAUUUAGGAGCUGCAGCUCUAUACUCUGAGAAAUA